CAGCCGCCGCGGUAAUACGGAGGGUCCGAGCGUUAAUCGGAAUUACUGGGCGUAAAGCGUGCGCAGGCGGUUUGUUAAGCGAGAUGUGAAAGCCCUGGGCUCAACCUAGGAAUAGCAUUUCGAACUGGCGAACUAGAGUCUUGUAGAGGGGGGUAGAAUUCCAGGUGUAGCGGUGAAAUGCGUAGAGAUCUGGAGGAAUACCGGUGGCGAAGGCGGCCCCCUGGACAAAGACUGACGCUCAUGCACGAAAGCGUGGGGAGCAAACAGGAUUAGAUACCCGCGUAGUCCCUGUCUCUUAUAC
rnacentral:rRNA from 1 species